UGAGAGACCAUAGAGAGAGAUAGAGUGAGAGAGAGAGUAGGAUAAAUAGCGCAUAGCCGUGCUUCAUAUAAGAAUGGCAUCAUUUCGUUUGAGCGCAUUUUGUCGCAUUUUUUUGUCGUUGAAAAAAUUUUUUCUAGAUGUCUAGUCUAUAUGUAGUAUCGAUGGAUUUGGGCUCUCAUGAUAUAUCGAUGGUUUAUUUCAUCCAUCAAUAAUUUACUACUUGGUGGCGCGAAGAGGCGCAUUCAAUGCAUAGCACUUCCUCUUCUCCCCUACCAUCAACUUGGCGCCUCUGCUUCCCAACAUGUCUCAGGCCGUUGCCGCCCUGCUGCUGCGACGUCGACGUCGACCUGGAAAACGAAAAGGAAGAGAAGCCGCCGCCUGACGAAAGGCAGUCGAUGGCAGUCGGUGGCUGGCAGCUGAACUGGACGAGACGAUACAUUUAACAAAUAUUAACAAUUCAUUGCGAAAUUAUAACGAUUUAAAUCGAA